AGUGAACGCUGGCGGUAGGCCUAACACAUGCAAGUCGAACGGCAGCACAGUAAGAGCUUGCUCUUACGGGUGGCGAGUGGCGGACGGGUGAGGAAUACAUCGGAAUCUACCUUUUCGUGGGGGAUAAUGUAGGGAAACUUACGCUAAUACCGCAUACGACCUACGGGUGAAAGCAGGGGAUCUUCGGACCUUGCGCGAUUGAAUGAGCCGAUGUCGGAUUAGCUAGUUGGCGGGGUAAAGGCCCACCAAGGCGACGAUCCGUAGCUGGUCUGAGAGGAUGAUCAGCCACACUGGAACUGAGACACGGUCCAGACUCCUACGGGAGGCGGCAGUGGGGAAUAUUGGACAAUGGGCGCAAGCCUGAUCCAGCCAUACCGCGUGGGUGAAGAAGGCCUUCGGGUUGUAAAGCCCUUUUGUUGGGAAAGAAAAGCAGCAGGUUAAUACCCCGCUGUUCUGACGGUACCCAAAGAAUAAGCACCGGCUAACUUCGUG
rnacentral:rRNA from 1 species